UCCGGUGUCUAGGAGUCUUAUAAUCACGGUUCCGCUAGGCUGUGGUGAAGAGAUUCGUUUCUUCCUGACAGCCUUAAUGUUCAGAUGAGAAAGAUGAGGGUCCUAGAGGAAGAGGUUUCUCAUAUUCACUCAGCAAGAAACUCCCGAGACCAGCGCGCUUUCCACAUGACUCCUCUGAGCGUAGGACUAUCCUUGAGGUCCUGUCAUGCUUGUGUUUCAGAAGCAUACAAGGCUUCCUACUUCAGAAUUGGCUUUCUGUUUCAAGGCCCUCAAUGAGUCUACUGCAUUGAGCUCCUUAAAGACUGAGGGACUCAACUCUGCAUCACAGUAUCAACCACAAGGCCCCAGGGGAAGGAUACCGAGGGAGACCCCAAGAACACCCCACGCCUGGCUGACCAGGCCGCUUGCGCUGCAGAGGAGGCGGACACAGCUGGAAGGGACAGGAUUUAUGUUGCAUACUUGAACUACAAAGUGGUGUUACGAGCCUGUUGUCCCAGUUAUGGAAGCUGAGGUAGGAGGAUGACUUGAGAACAAGAGUUUGAGGCCAACCUGGAUAACACAGUAUACCUCAUCUCAAAGAAGGAAGAAAGAAAGAAUGGAAGGGAAGAAGGAAGGUAAGUUGAUGUAGCCAGGUGCAGCUGUACACACUUCUAGUCCCAGCUACUCAGGAGAUGGAGGCAGGAGGACUGCUUGAGCCCAUGAGUUCAAAACUAGCCUGGGCAAUAUGGAGAAAACCCAUCUCAAAAAAUAAAAUUAAUUCAAUUCUAACAUAUACUAAGUACUUACUGUUUGCCAGGUUCUAUACUGGGAAAACAAGUAUGAAUAGUUUCUUCCUUCAGGGGUCUCACAGUAUAAUGGAUGAUUCAUUCAAUCAUAAUUCAUUCAAUAAAUGUUACGCACCUACUGUGUGCCAGGUGCUGAAAAUUCAGAGGAAACAAUUGAACAAGCUAACUAUCUUCAUAAAGCCUACCUGCUAGUGUAGAAAACAGACCAAUGGUAAGUAAACAAAAACAAGAUAAUUAUAGACAUUAUAUGGAAAAUAAACAGGGUGACCAAAUUAUCUGAUGGUUGGAGGCCUGCUUUAGAAAGGUAAUGAGGAAAAGACCUCCUGAAGAGGUGACAUCUGAGAUGAGACAUAAAGGGAGAAAGUAAGACAGUCAUCUCAGGAAUAAGUAAACAUCAUUCUAAGCAGAACAAGUGUAAAAGCCCUGAGGUCAGAAAGAGCUCAGAUGUUCCAGGUACAGAAAAGAGGUCAGUGGGGUGUAUCAGGUGAGAGAGAGGGGAGAGGCAUCUAGGAUGGGCAGGAGCCUCACUAACUAGGGUGAACAGUCUGAAUUUUAUUUGGAGAGUAAUGGGAAGCCAUGGAAGGCUUUAAGCCAAGAAGGAACAUGAUCUUUGGAUGUUUAAAAGAUCAUUUUGUCCUCAUUGUGGAGAAUGGUUGGUAAGAUGGCAGGAAGAAGAGCCAAAAGAGCAAUUAGUGGUUAUCUGAUGGUCCAGGCAGGUGGAGUUAGUGAUUUGUAUUUAGGGUGGUGUCAGAGAUAAGAAUGAAAUGAACUCAAAAUGUAUUUUGAAACUAGACUGAAGAACUGCAAGUGGAUUCCCUGUGGGAAGAGGGAAAGCAAGAAAAAUGCCAACUUUUAAAAUUUAAACAGUUAGCUAGUGGAAGUGCUGUUUACUCAGAGGAGUUUUGGUUUGGAAAUCAAGAAUUCAGUUCUGAUCAGAUUAGAUCUGAGAUGUGGGAUAUCAGGAGAAACGUCUUGUGGGUAGCUAGAUGCUGCAGUCUGGCUGGGCACAAAUAACCGAGCCGCCAUGAAGCACUUGUAGGUUCAAAACAGCAACUCUUUAUUGCCGAACUCCACCAGCACACUCCACGCACACUCCCCAAGAACUCUCCCUCCUCUCCCGGGCUCCGUGCACUCCCUUGGAACCUGGGAGAACUCCAUGGGAACUCCCAAGUAGCAGGCCCCUGAGGCAGCAAGAGCUGCCCUAUUGCCGGACAGUAAAGGUCUAAUAUACAAUUGAAUACACAGCUUAACAUAACCAUCAUCAUCUCAGUGGCGUCACCUCUCAACCACUCCCUUCUGGCAAAAUGCCAUGUGUCAUCCUGACUUGGCCUUGGCCCUCAACAGCUAGUUAGUCAGGUCUGGAGCCCGGGGGUGUGAUCCAGAUUAGAGAUAUAAAUUUAGGAGUGACAAGAGAAGGAAUUAUAUUGAAAGCCUCCAUCUGGACAUGUUUGCCUAAGAAGUGCAUGUAGACAAGGAAGAGGACCCAAGACUGAGGCCUGAGAGAGAAUUGAGAGAGUAGGCUGUGGAAGAAGUAAGUACCAGAGAGACAAGAACAGGGCAGAGCCCAGGACUUUGCCACAGAAGCCCAGAGAGAGUCAGGUGUGAAGAGGAGGAUGGUCUGCUGAGGACAGAAGGGCCACAUGGAAGACCUAGCAAUGCGGAUGUGACUCUCAAAAGCGUCCUGUGUAGAGUGCUGAACAGACACUAGAUGGAAGAAGUUUGGAGGGUGAGUGGAGAGGCAGCGAAUGCAGGCCAUGUGGGAGAGAAGAUCGGACAUGAAGGGCAGCAGCUACCUUACAGAGUCCCUGGAAGAAGGGAAACGUAUGGCCAAUAAAUAUACAAAGAGAUGUCCAGCUUCCUUAGUGAUUGGGGAAAUGCAAAUUAAGACACAAUGUGAUACUAUUUUAUAGAGUUCCAUUGGGCAAACAUUUGAAAUCUGAUGAUAAUAAGAUACCAAGUGUUAAGGGAAUGUGGAUCCACCAGUCUUUCUUACACAGAUAAUGGGACUGUCCAUUAAUACAGCCACUUCGGAAAACAGUUUCACACUUAUCUCAUGAAAUUAGCAUUCACAUACCUUAUCCCCUGCCUUUUCAUUCCUUGAUAAUGUGACACAGCUAUGUGCAAGAAUUCAUAGCAUUCACAGAGGCAAAAACCUAGGAAAAGUUCAAAUGCCUCAAGAGAACAGAUGAAUAAUCUGUGGCAUUUCCACCAUCAGUGAAUGCUGUGUAGCAGAGAAAUGGAUGGACUCCAGAUCUGUGCUCAGUGUUGAUGACUCCUGAACUGUGAUAUGAAGGGAGAAAAGGCCCAGGAAGGUUGCAUACAUCAUAAUGCCAUUUUUAUAAAGUAAAAAACAAGUGUAAUAAAUUUUAAAUACUUUUCAGGAAUAGAUUUGUAUGUAAUGAAACUAUACUCAAGAAAGCAGGAGACUGGUAAUGCAUGAGUCAGAUAGUGGUUACUUUGCAUGGGAGGUAACAAAGGGAUAAGGCCGUAAAAUGAUAAGGAUGCUUAUUACACUCAAGGAAACAAAGACAAGGCCUCCUAUGAAGUAUUUUUAUUCAAAAAACUUGGAAUCUAUCUAACCAUGAAAUGUAAAUAGUUACAUUUUAAUUAAAAAAAAAAAAAAACAUGUUCAGCAGCACCAAAGGGAAAUCCAGAAAUCCACCAGUCAGGAAAAUCCAGAAUGCAGGAUGCAGAACACUAUAGGGCAAACAGCUUAGUUUCAUCAACAAGUAAAUUAUGAAAAACAUUUGAAAUGUUAAAAGAGAGUGGGGAAACCAAUAGGUUAAAAGAGAUGUGGUGGGGCUGGGGGUGUAGCUCAGUGGUAGAGUGCUUGCCUAGCAUGUAUGAGGCCUUAGGCUCAAUCCCCAGCACCAAAGAGAGAGAGAGAGAGAAACCAAAUGUACUAUGUGGAGUUUCUUUGGCUCCUGAUUCUAGCAAGUCAGCUAUUUAAAAAAAAAAAAAACACUUAUAAGAUAUUUUGAAAACUGAUGAAGGACACUAUUAAAUUGUUAAUUUUUUAAUUUGAUGAUGGAACUGUAAUUUUUCUCAAAGUCUAACUCUUAGAGAUGUAACUACAUUUUUUAAAAAAAAUCUAGUAAUAUUUGUCCUAUACUUUCCUCAUGACAUUGUAAUUUGUGUGCUAAUCUCUCUCUCUCUCUCUGACAUACACACACAUACACACACACACACACACGCACACACAAUUCCUAUCCAACAGGACUGUAUUUCCAAGACACAAAAGAUUCUUACCUACUAUCAUCUGCCGACCUCAGCACAAUACUUUGUUGAAUUAAAAAAAGAGGAAAUGUAAACAUCAGAGGGCUAAGCAGAAGUAAAUCCUUUUUCCCUACAACUUUUUAUACCUGAAGUCUAAAACCAAAGUCCCUGGAAAGGAAGAGUAGGGACACAAAGCUGUCUUAACAACUCAUGAGAAGUGCAUUUCUUGGAGAACAAGGUGGAGACAACCCUGGCUGGGCUGAGUCCCCCUGAUACCCUCCCCACACGGCUGGAUCUAAAUUACAUAUAGCAAGGUCUCCAGCACCAGACUGGGCCAUGCCCUGGGCUCUCUUCUCACAGGGCCACCCUGGGUAAAUGGUUGAAGGAGGAAACUGAGGCAUCCUCCACAGAGGGAAAGAGUAGGUCACAUCCUGGUGGCCAAGUCAGAAAUGCCAAUUAAGGAUCUGUCAAAGCAGAGACCCUGGCACAUCUACAAGUCAGUGGGCAGGGACCACAGUCCUGUUAUUCUGAGGAGCCAAUGAAGGGACUGGAGAGUGGGUCAGCGAUGAAAUGCAACUGGAAAAGGGGGACUGGAAGAAGAGGGCCCUGCCUGACUGCCAUUUGGGCUUGGCUGGCCAAGGUUCAGCCUGGUCCCUUCUCCAUGCAGAAGGAUGUGGGCUACCACAGAAAUGCAGGCAAUGCUAAUGUGAGUAGAAAAUUGAAUUCCUCAGCACAGUAGGGGGGCUGACUCAGCUGAGCAGACAUAGCCAUAUAUAACUACAAAAUGAGAACACCCUAAGCCCCACACAGAGCAGGGGCCCCUGGGAGAUGGAGGGGGUUCCCUCUGCCUGCAGUGGCAUAAGGGUAGGAAGAGCUCCCAGUAGGAUCUUUCAAGACUGAUCUGAACAGAAGAGGAACCACAUGCAUAAAGUCCCAGAGACACGAAAAUACAAUGAUGUGUCUGAUACCCAAUAAAGCUGCUGGAGCCUGAA